rnacentral:tRNA from 1 species
AAGGACUUGGGUUAAUUACUUCAAACCUGUAACCUUCAAAGUUAUUAAUAAAAAUAAAUUUUUAGGCCUUA